AGAUUCUCGAUACUAUCGAACAAUCGAACGGCCGGUGCUUGCGAUUCUCGAACGACGCGGCAGUCCGAGUCGUCUCGCGUCGCGGUUGCUUCCGUAAUACGUUUUUUUCGCGACUUUCUGCGUAGAAAUCGCAUCGGUUUGCCGAAACGUGAGUGUUCAUCGUGAAGCGGACGUCGGGAUGAACCGGAGGGUGCAGUUGGACGGAACAGCGCGAGCAAUUGGAACGGAUGGCGACCGAUAAAAGAUUCCUUGGCCCGGCUGUAGGCUAGGCAGGUGAACGAGCGACCAUGACGCGUCAACAGCAAGCUGCGCGAGAAAUAAAAUGGCAGUUGCAUCAAGAACUACGCGACUGAUUAAUGAUAUCCUUGUGUCACACUUUCGGUUUUCACAUUGUGUACGGUUAAUGUUCGGAGUGUCGCCCGAUCGUCGUAUCCUGGUAAUUAGUGCACGCGCGCGCGCAAUUGCAAGCAAUCCGGGCUCUCGCGAGUGUGAGUGCAACGAAGAAACCUGAGAGGAGCAGACCUGGGAGCGUCGGCGGAACAGCACGAGAUCGCCGUAGUUUAAAACUCCGUCGUUGCGCUUCGUGUUGAUACCGAAUGAUAAAUGAAUUAAUUGGCCAGUUGGAUGAGUUCUCUGACAUGCCACGGAUUACAUUCAAGAUUAAAUGCCUCAGAGAAAUCUAUUACGUAAGUUUUUGCGGAUAUUGUCUUUUAUAUUAUACUUCGAUAUUUAUGUAGAACGAGAUGUAAUUUAAUUGAAUUUAUAAAGAAAUUACGAUGACAUUAAGAUAUAGUGGAAUCAAAUUCUGUUAUGCAGAUAUUUAUAAUCCAGUUAUCAUGAUAAAUGAUAUUUACGGCCUCCAUCUCUUCCUUUGCUCGAUGAACUGCUUUACUAUGAUCGUGAUUUCACUGUUCAGUAUUUAGUCUAAUCCAAGGUCUUGUUUACGGAAUCGGGUUUAUAUUAAAAAGUAAUAUCUUUUGGAUUACAUAUAUCGUGCAAUUUAGUUUGAUAUGCUGGAUUUGUACAUUUGUGCGUCGAGAAUCCGACAAGAUUGGGAUAAUAUGCGUCAUUGCAUUAAAAUAAAACCUAUGAAUAAUGAUACAUUACUUGAGGCAAGGAAUUGAUGCAAUCUAGAGGUGCAUUUGCCAUUGGAAAACUCGGACAGGAAAAUUCUAAUUACAGUAGCAAUCACAAUUUGAAUUAUGUUGUCAUGGAAAAUCUCUUGCGCAGAAAUCUGGAUCGAAACUGUGUCAGAAACGAGAUCAAUGACUUUUCAAUUCAACCGCAACAGCACCGAGUAGCAUUCACGGCUUACAAUUUUUUUUUAAUGAGCAAUGUUCUGUUUGGUGGUGUAAGUAUAAUUUCAAAUAAUGAGUAGAUUAAGAGUCGACGAACUGGCAAUAUUUUAUUGUGUAUUACAAUCUCACAACGUUUUGACCAUGGGAUUUGGUCCAAUACAGCAGAUCUAUCUAAGAAUAAAUUUAAUUUUGCUUUUCAAGAUCUUUAAUUAGCUAAUAUAUAUUUUAUUAGAUUUAAUUUAUAAAACGGCAUUAUGUUUAUGGAGUGUGGUAGCUAAUGGCAUGCAAUGUAAUAUUGAAAAAUUGCAGAAGUAAGAACAUCAUUCUUUAUUGUUAUGUGACGUCUAGAAAGAUGUCUAGAGUGUGUUUCAAGAAAGACUUUAUUUAUGAUAUUUAUCUAUAAUCAAGACCUUAUCUACUCUUAAAGAUUAUGUACAUACAAAAUAUUCAGUAUCGUAAAGCCAUAAUGUAACCAGCUACCAUACUCGUUUUUAAAAUGUCUAUUAGCUAGAAAAUAGAAGACAAAGAUGAAGCAGAUCUAGUAGACAACUCGCUGCCAAUAGAGCACAUCUUAUGUUCAAUAUCGUACAUUUGAUUCUUGGGCGUUGGCGUUGCACAUUGCACGUCGCACGUUUCUAAAUUUUAGCACAUUUAAUAAGACAUAAAUAUUAACUGCCAAAAGUUGUUGUUUGUGAUAUUUUUUUAAAUUUCUAUUCAAUUUAUUUUUAUUAACGUAUAACAUACACAUUGUAAGUAAAAACCUGAGUGAUAGUCUCUUCUGUAACGGUAAAAAUGUAAAAAAUAGUCAAUAACUUAUGUAAAAAAUAUUAUUAAUAUGGUAGGAAAUAAUUUAAAUAUUUAAAUUAUUGCAGCAUUAAACAAUUAUUUUUUAAUAUAUAAUAUAAUAUAGUAGAUACUUUAAAAAUACAUUGAAUUUAACAUUUUUUCUGUUCUAUACUUGCGGCUUAUUAUACUAUUGAUCAUUAUCUCUUCUUAUUUGUGUUUGAAUUUGUGAUAAACAUUAUUAAUAUUUUUUUAUUAAAUAUAUCAAUUUACAGGAUAAUUGUAAAAAUGUUUUGACUCCAGAAAAAUUUCACUAUUUU
rnacentral:lncRNA from 1 species